UACGUAGGGGGCAAGCGUUGUCCGGAAUCAUUGGGCGUAAAGCGCGUGUAGGCGGUCCGGUAAGUCCGCUGUGAAAGUCGGGGGCUUAACCCUCGGAUGCCGGUGGAUACUGGCGGGCUUGAGUACGGAAGAGGCGAGUGGAAUUCCUGGUGUAGCGGUGAAAUGCGCAGAUAUCAGGAGGAACACCAAUUGCGAAGGCAGCUCGCUGGGACGGUACUGACGCUGAGACGCGAAAGCGUGGGGAGCAAACAGG
rnacentral:rRNA from 1 species